UACGUAGGGGGCAAGCGUUGUCCGGAAUCAUUGGGCGUAAAGCGCGUGUAGGCGGUUCGAUAAGUCUGCUGUGAAAGUCCAGGGCUCAACCCUGGGAUGCCGGUGGAUACUGUCGAGCUAGAGUACGGAAGAGGCGAGUGGAAUUCCCGGUGUAGCGGUGAAAUGCGCAGAUAUCGGGAGGAACACCAAUUGCGAAGGCAGCUCGCUGGGACGUCACUGACGCUGAGACG
rnacentral:rRNA from 1 species